AUUGAACGCUGGCGGCAGGCCUAACACAUGCAAGUCGAACGAGUGGCGGACGGGUGAGUAAUGUCUGGGAAACUGCCCGAUGGCGGGUGAUAACUACUGGACACGGUAGCUCAUACCGCAUACCAUCGGAUGUGCCCAGAUGGGAUUAGCUAGUAGGGGGGGUAACGGCUCACCUAGGCGACGAUCCCUAGCUGGUCUGAGAGGAUGACCAGCCACACUGGAACUGAGACACGGUACAGACUCCUACGGGAGGCAGCAGUGGGGAAUAGUGCACAAUGGGAGCAAGCCUGAUGCAGCCAUGCCGCGUGUAUGAAGAAGGCCUUCGGGUUGGAAAGUACUUGCAGCGAGGAGGCGUUACUCGCAGAAGAAGCACCGGCUAACUCCGUGCCAGCAGCCGCGGUAAUUC
rnacentral:rRNA from 1 species